rnacentral:rRNA from 1 species
UACGUAGGGCGCAAGCGUUAUCCGGAAUUAUUGGGCGUAAAGAGCUCGUAGGCGGUUUGUCGCGUCGGCUGUGAAAGCCCGGAGCUCAACUCCGGGUCUGCAGUCGAUACGGGCAGACUUGAGUGUUGCAGGGGAGACUGGAAUUCCUGGUGUAGCGGUGAAAUGCGCAGAUAUCAGGAGGAACACCGGUGGCGAAGGCGGUUCUCUGGGCCUGUACUGACGCUGGAGGAGCGAAAGCGUGGGGAGCGAACAGG